rnacentral:misc_RNA from 1 species
GCACAAUCCACUUUUUCACUUGCCAAAAUUUUCCUUAGUUAAUCCUUCAUUUGCGAAAAAAUAUAGUCGAGACUCAAGACACCAUGCCGCUCUUGGAAACGCUAGGAGGUGCAGCUUUUGGGGCUGUUCUUACAAUACUAUUAGAGAAGAUGGCUUCUCAGAAGUUCCUGGACUUGUUCAAGAAGUGGAAAUUCAAUGCUGCUCUGCUUCCAAAGCUAAAGUUUGUGCUGCUGACAGUCAGGGUAGUGCUGAGUGAUGCAGAGGAGAAGCAAUUUACAAAUCCUUUCGUGAAGGAGUGGUUAGAUGAGCUCAAAGAUUCUGUUUAUGAAGCAGAGGAUGUACUGGAUGAGAUUGCCACGGAGGCCUUGCGAGGCAAUUCAGAAACCACUUCCUACAAGGAGAGCAUAGAAUCCAAGGUUGAAGAAAUUAUUAAGCGCCUGGAAUCUAUAGCUCAACAAAAGGACGUUCUUGGUUUGAUAGAGCGUCUGGGAGGGAGACCACCAUUAAGGUCUCCAUCCACUUCCUUGGUUGAUGAAUCUGAAGUAUUUGGGAGGGAGAAUGAUAAAAAAGCUAUCCUUGAUUUUUUACUGCCAACUUUUGAGAAUGCAAAUGAAAUGACGUCAAAUCAAGUCCCAGCUAGGAACGGAGUUACUGUGGUCAAUGUGAAUGAAGCCCUGGAGUCACAAGAGACUGAAGUCAAAGCGAAUGGAGUCCUGCGCCUGCCAGCAAACGAAAAUGGAGUGCCUGCGAAUGAGAAUGGGAUCGAGGCAAAAAAGAAGGCAGCCCUACAGGCACAAGAGAAUGAUUUCACUGCAGCGAAUCAAGAUGGAGUUCCAACAGUGACUGAGGAUGUAGUUUUCCCAGCAAAUGAAAACAGGGUCCCAGUUAUGAGGGACGAGAAAAUCAGUGAAAAGGAUUUAGCAGCAGUUGGAGUUGAAAUCCCUGUGGUUGCUGUUGUCGGUAUGCCUGGUGUUGGCAAAACAACCCUCGCUCAGCUUUUGUUCAAUGAUAGUAGAGUGAAGAAAAUUUUCGACCAAAGAAGAGUAUGGGUUCACGUUUCAGAGGAAUUUGAUAUUCUGAAAAUAACCAAAACAAUUUAUCAAUGUGUCACUUCUUCUUUUGAAUGUCCUGCAGACUUGAAUUCACUUCAGGUCAAACUGCAAGAAAACCUGGAGAAAAAGAAAUUCCUAUUCGUUCUGGAUGACAUCUGGAACGAGAAUUUUGUUGACUGGGAUGUCCUGCAGAGACCCUUCAAAGCUGCAGAUACUCAGAGCAGAAUUAUUGUUACAACUCGUAGUCGUAAUGUUGCAUUGAUUAUGCGUGCUGCUCACACAUAUCAUCUGAAAACUUUAUCUGAUGACGAUUGUUGGUCCUUGUUUGCUAAACAUGCAUUCGGGCCUGGAAUUCCCAAAAAACAUGCAGAGAAGAAAGAAAUCGGUGAAGAAAUAGCGAAGAGGUGUAAUGGCCUGCCUUUAGCUGCAAAAACA